ACACCUACGGGAGGCAGCAGUGGGAAUAUUGCACAAUGGGGGAAACCCUGAUGCAGCCAUGCCGCGUGUGUGAAGAAGGCCUUCGGGUUGUAAAGCACUUUCAGUAGGGAGGAAGGUAGUGUAGUUAACACCUGCAUUAUUUGACGUUACCUACAGAAGAAGCACCGGCUAACUCCGUGCCAGCAGCCGCGGUAAUACGGAGGGUGCGAGCGUUAAUCGGAAUUACUGGGCGUAAAGCGCAUGCAGGCGGCCUGUUAAGUCAGAUGUGAAAGCCCGGGGCUUAACCUCGGAAUUGCAUUUGAAACUGGCAGGCUAGAGUCUUGUAGAGGGGGGUAGAAUUUCAGGUGUAGCGGUGAAAUGCGUAGAGAUCUGAAGGAAUACCAGUGGCGAAGGCGGCCCCCUGGACAAAGACUGACGCUCAGAUGCGAAAGCGUGGGGAGCAAACAGGAUUAGAUACCC
rnacentral:rRNA from 1 species